rnacentral:rRNA from 1 species
UACGAAGGGGGCGAGCGUUGUUCGGAAUCACUGGGCGUAAAGGGCGCGUAGGCGGCCCUCCUAGUCGCGUGUGAAAGCCCCGGGCUCAACCUGGGAACGGCGCGCGAAACGGGGGGGCUGGAGUUCGGGAGAGGAGCGUGGAAUUCCCAGUGUAGAGGUGAAAUUCGUAGAUAUUGGGAAGAACACCGGUGGCGAAGGCGGCGCUCUGGACCGAGACUGACGCUGAGGCGCGAAAGCUAGGGGAGCGAACAGG